CCUCCUUCUAUUUUAGCCUUGACUUAGGCUUCAGACCAAAUGACUCUUUAUAUCCGUAUUUAGUACAUUACUUUUCAUCUGAGGGCCCACAGGGCUCUGGUCAAAAGUAUAGAAUGAUAUAGGGAAUAGGGUGGUGGCAAUUGAUUGUCCAGGUCCUGGUGAUGAGGGUUAUAAUGGGGUCUAGUCCAGGUGAUGAGGGUUAUAAUGGGGUCUAGUCCAGGUGAUGAGGGUUAUAAUGAGGUCUAGUCCAGGUGAUGAGGGUUAUAAUGAGGUCUGGUUCAGGUGAUGAGGGUUAUUAUGAGGUCUGGUCCAGGUGAUGAGGGUUAUAAUGAGGUCUGGUCCUGGUGAUGAGGGUUAUAAUGAGGUCUGGUCCAGGUGAUGAGGGUUAUUAUGAGGUCUGGUCCAGGUG
ensembl:lncRNA